rnacentral:rRNA from 1 species
GACGAUCGCUGGCGGCGUGCUUAACACAUGCAAGUCGAACGGAAAGGCCCUGCUUUUGUGGGGUGCUCGAGUGGCGAACGGGUGAGUAACACGUGAGUAACCUGCCCUUGACUUUGGGAUAACUUCAGGAAACUGGGGCUAAUACCGGAUAGGAGCUCCUGCUGCAUGGUGGGGGUUGGAAAGUUUCGGCGGUUGGGGAUGGACUCGCGGCUUAUCAGCUUGUUGGUGGGGUAGUGGCUUACCAAGGCUUUGACGGAUAGCCGGCCUGAGAGGGUGACCGGCCACAUUGGGACUGAGAUACGGCCCAGACUCCUACGGGAGGAAGCAGUGGGGAAUAUGGAACAAUGGGCGGAAGCCGGAGGAAGCAACGCCGCGUGCGGGAUGACGGCCUUCGGGUUGUAAACCGCUUUCGCCUGUGACGAAGCGUGAGUGACGGUAAUGGGUAAAGAAGCACCGGCUAACUACGUG